rnacentral:lncRNA from 1 species
CAAAAAUGAACCUUUGCCCUGCAUAUAUGUCGGAAUUUUUGUGUUAUAGAUUGUAUUGUAUAUAAAGUGGAAUGUAAGUUGUGAAACAGUAGAUAACAGUGUGUAGAUUAAAGUCAAUAAACUGAUUGAAGGAGGUGAGAAAUUGAAGUACAAAAUAAACAGCUGAAAUAUGAGUAAUGUCUUUGCUUGAAUUUUGGAGACACUGAAAUAGUGAAUUUUCUGUUCGUUUUCCUGGGACUGUCAUGAAAACAAAUUUGUGUGUUUGUUAAAUGUUUGCCAAGGGCACAGAGAUGACAAAUAGGAUUCUCUUAGUUAUGUUAGCAUUAUAAAUGACAAUAGUUGUUAAUGUAAGUCUCAUAUUAAUUGAACUGAAGCCUGAAAGUCAAAACUUAUUGCAAGUAUGAAUGAAGACAGUAUUUUAUGUCCAAUCAUUCUUGAAUACAACUCAUAAUUUUAUUGGGUUUUUUGUUGUUGUUGUUUUUGUUGUUUGUUUGUUUUUAUUCCAGUUCAGUUUUGUCUGUAUUUUACAGUUGUCACUCUGCAGGAAGGUGGUAGUGAGAUUUGUGUAUAAGAGAUUUUCUAUGAUCUGGCAUCCUAUGGUAAUAUGUUGACCUGACACUCCAGAGCAAUAAUUCUGCUGAAUGUUAAAGAAAUUGCUUUCAAAGGCAGACUAGACUGCAGUGAUCACGUCCAGGUGGAAUUCACAGUCCUAAGAAGUACAGCUUAAAUGAAGAGUAAAUAGAAUAAAAGAGAAUGGAAUUCUUUCAAUAGCAAUGGAUUCAGAAGAUCAUUCAGUCCAACUGUCACCAGGGGCUGACCCACAGUUAAACAUGGACAGACACAAAGCAUCAGCCACAUGCCUAGGAAGCUGUAAGAGACUAUUCUUUUAUAUCAUUGACUCAAAGUUUGCUGAGGAUCAAGUCCAGGCAAGUCCUGGGCAAAGGCAGAGAAAUCUUUUGUCUUGAGGACACUGAUGGACAGGUCCUGGCUAAGGAUUGUGAAAUCCUCUAAGGAGCACAGAUGGACAAGGCCAGGGGCAUCGAGAGAGAGAUAAGCUGCUGCUAAUGGCCGGGAAGCGGUCUUUUUGUGUGGACUUAUCUCAAGGAAAAUGGCCAUCUCAGGAGGUAUGCACAGGACUCUUGCUCAAGCACCCAGGAAUGUCACGUAGACAGCAGAAAAUGGAGAAUAAAAGAGGGUCCAAUAACCACAACGCUGGAAGCUGAUCCUUCACCACAACCACGGCAACGGGAGAGGCUUAUCUCUCACCACGACAGACUUGAGGGGUUCUCUGCCAACUGAUCUCUCACCGCAACGUGUAGACGGAUCUCUACGUGGAGACUGAUCUCUCACCACGACACGAGCUUCCUGCCUUCCGAUCCUCCUCUACGGACCGUUUGCUGACGGACUUCCCUGGGCCUGCUACCUGAGACCUGCUGCUUCCUCCCUGGCCUGCAUCCUCUCGCUGCCCCAGACCGGCCUCGCUGCUCCUGCCCUUCGGCCUCGGACCGUCGGAACGUCGUGCAACGGGACUGCUGCCGGAUCCUGGUGGUGACUAUCCCCGCUUUACGCAAUUCUUGCCUCUUUCUAUCUUUUCUAUCGCUCGCCUUCCCUUCCCCAUCACCCCAAUCCUUAAUAGCGUCCGUCCUCCCCUUUCCCCAUCUCUCUUAUUAACAUUUAUAAUAAACUGGUCGGACCAACAUUUGAACCGUUGUUUCUUAAUCUCACGCCGGGCAUACAUAUUUCAAAGAACCUCCUCUCCCUCCUAUAAAUUGGAGCGAGACAGAAGCAUAUUCCAGUGUCUAACUACUCUCUUGGUGAAGAAGUUUGUCCUAAUCACUGAAUGAUGGAUUAAUAGAAUCACAGAAUCAUAGAAUGGUUAAGAUUGUAUGGAACCUUAAAGAACAUCUAAUUCCAGACCUCUGCCAUGGACAGGGUUGCCACCCACUAGAAAAGUUUGCUCAGGGCCCCAUCCAACCUGAUUUUGAAUAUAUCCAGGAUUAUGAUACUCAGAGCUUCUCUGGGCAAACUGUUCUAAUGCCUCCCCACUCCCUGGGUAAAGAAUUUCCUCCUAACAUCUAGCCUAAGUCUCUUCUCUUACAGCUUAAUAUGAAAUCUUCAAGCUUCCACUGGGUAGCAUCUCUUCAUUUAUGUGUGUCCACUGCACCACUCAGCUUGGUGUCAUAUGCAGACUUGCUGGGAGUACACUUGAUCCCACUGUCCAUGCCACCUAUGAAGAUGUUAAAUAGCACUGGUCCCAGUACUGAUCCCUGAAGAACACCACUUGUCAUUGGUUUCCACUUGGACAUUGAGCUGUUGACUGCAACUCCCUGAGUGUGACCAUCCAGCCAAUUCCUUAUUCAGCUAGUGGUCCAUCCAUCAAGUCCAUUUUUCUCCAAUUUGGUGAUGAGGAUGUCAUAUGGGACAGCAUCAAAUGCACAAAUUGCAAAUUGUCAAAUGGCACAAAUCCAGGUAGAUGAUGUCAGUUGUUCUUGUUUUACCCACUGACACUGCAACUCCAUCAUAAUAGGUCAUCACAUUUGUCAGGCAUGACUUGCCCUUGGUGAAGCCAUGUUGGUUACCACCAAUCACCUCAUCUUUAUUUUCCAUGUGCCUUAGUAGGACCUUCAGAAGGAUCUGCUCCAUGAUCUUGCCAGGCACAGAGGUGAGACUGACUGGCAUGUAGAUCCCUGGAUCUUUGCUUUUUUUUGUCUAUUUGAAAAUGGGGAUUCUGUUUCCUUUUUUCCAGACAGUGGGAACUUCAUCAGACUGCCAUGACUUUUAAAAUAUGAUGGAUAGUGGCUUGGCAACUUCAAAAUUAUUCAAAUCAGUUUAACAUAGAGCAAGGGGUUGAUCUCAAUGUACUUAUAACUCUCUAAGCUUCACAUCUGUCUCAGAGAGAACUUGCAGCUUUUUAUACUUGUGAGACUCAUUAUUACCACCUUCAUUUUGAUAUUCACUACCUCCUUUAGCAGGACGAUUUUGUUUUGAUUACACUCUUCAAAAUGUCUGUAUGAAUAUGGGAUUCAAAUAGAUAUCCUAGGCAAUUCACCCAUACCUCUCUUGUGAAUAUUUACAUAAUUACAGAAAAAUAACUUUGUUAGGAGUGAUUGGCUUCUGAUAGUGAAAAGAGCUAUCUCCUUGGCAUACCAGUUUGUGCAGAGCGUGAGGCUUGGUCCUUUGCCUAUGUCCUUGGUCCUUUUGCCUAUGUGAAGAUGUAUUACUGCUUUGGUAGUCAAACUGAUUUAUUUUAAUUGUUUAAUUUUAUAAAUUGUCUGAUUCUAAGGUCUGACGUGCCAAUUAUGAUGCUCUAAUCUGACUACAUAGCACAGGGUGAAUAUUUGAAUUGAAGCUCUGUGGUUUUAUGUGGACAUUCCACCAAUGGACACUUUUGCCUUGAAGUCUUCAUAGACAUACUUCACAGUCUCCAGAGACUAUUGUCCAUAAUUUCAUAAAACAGCAAGAUGUUAGAAGUUUUGCCAUGUUCAUUUUAGAAAAUCCAAAAUUAAGUUGUGUUGAGGUACAUAAACAACUCCUCUGGUAUUUUGGUUAAGAGCUUUUAUUAUUAAUAGAUCACAAAGACUAAAAUAAAAUUAUUCUUCUGACUCAGCACACAAUUUUUUGUAAAUUCUAAUAUGCAAUUUUAUCUAGCCGCUAGAACAAUAAGGCUUCAUUUCCAUGAAUAAUCAUCUUUUCUAUCUAAAUUACUCCUUCAAGGGUCUUACUACCUAUUGUGCCUUUAAUUAUCUUAUACUGUCAGAAAAUGUUAUUAAAAAUGCUAUGUAGAAUUUGUAGUCUUUCAACCAAAGCUGCUGCAGUCAUUUUUUUCCACCUUAGAAAUAAGUAUUAAAAACUCCAUGAUUUUUAAAUCAAAUCCAGGUUAGUUAUUACAAAAUCUGAUCAUGUGUUUUAUUUUAGUGAAAAUCCCCCGUUUACACAGGCAAAUGACUCAAAAGAGAGCCAAUGAAUUACUUUAUUUUAUGCACCACCUUAAUGUAAGCAAUAAUAUGUACAUGAACUUGUCCACCUCCUUUUUAAUUUCCUGAAUUAAAAUUAUAGCACUUUUAAAAAUGUUUAUAGAUAAUUAUUUCUUUUUAUUUCAUUAAAAAAAAAAAAAAAAAAAAAAAGAAGAAGAAGAAGCUUAAAUUCAAACCAAGGAAAGAACCAUAAAUUCCCGCAAAAGGGAAACAGAGAGAGAAAUUCCAAAAUAUCACAGUACACAGAAAUAGUGCAAACAGCACUAGACAGAGCUAUCAAGAUACUUCGAAUCAGAGUUCUAACAAACAAAUAAGAUAAAAUUGCAUCCUUGUCAGUGACAUAGUUUAGCCCCCUUCUGGAACCAUUAGGAGAAAAGUACCUGGGCCACCAAAAGGUUCUAUCAGAGUAAGAAAAAAAAGACAGUUUUUGUAUUGUCCCAGAAAUUAUUACUGGGCUCAUAUCAUUAUGGACUUUUUCAUUAAACCUGUACUGGAAGAUCAUUCGUCUGCCUGUCAUUUUAAAUCAAAGUUUUCAACCUUGGGAAAUGCUUACGGAAGUAUCACUGUAUGUCUUUCAUUCAAGGUGAUAAAUUAGUAAAAAAGAAAUAAUCAUAAAAUAUGAUCAAACAUCAGAGUGAAAAUUGUUGGUGCCUACUAUAUGGCUAAAAGUGGUAUGAUUUCUAUUUAUAGUAACUUGGAUCAAAACAAACAAACAAAAAGAACACAAAACAAAAGUAUACAAAGCAAAACAGCUAUUCUCUUAAUCUGUAUUUAUCAUAUAAAAGUGUAGCUAAAAUAUAUAAUUUAUCUUGAACAAAUUCUUCUAUCCAAAGGCUGCUUCAAAAGUAAUGCUUACUAUUCUGUUAUAUUAUUCCACCAUGUCAGAAACAGAUGUUGGUGAUGUGGCAGUAGAGAUUGAACCUUUCUGACAAAAUUCCAUUAAAUUUUAUUAUAGUGUUCUUUUGUUAUUCUAUUAAAUAGUGCUAUUGUGCUCUCUGUAUUUGUUGUAGUGUCCAUGGAUAUAAAUAGGAGGCAUUACUUUCAGAGCAACCUAUGUGUGUUUGUAUAUAAAUGUAUAUAUAAUGCUUUAUUUUCAUUUUCAGCUAAUGAAUUCAAAUAUAGACCAUUGGCCUAUGCCAAUCAAAAUAAAGUACUAUUCUAUGAAAUUGCAUUGUUUUCGUGAAAUAUUAUUUCUGAUUUAAUGCUAUAGCCACCAUUUUGUUCUUUUACACUUAUGAGAAGUUACACAGUAUUUGG